rnacentral:misc_RNA from 1 species
GGCUUUGUUCUUGGAAGCAACUUCACCUUAGGCCGUUCAGAUGAUUCAGACUGCACUGAGGAUAACAAUUCAGUCCUACUAAAUCUGACAUCAGUAUAUGGUUGUUGAACCCUUUCACCAUGCAUUGACAGGUUCCUGUCUCUCAAUUCUGAAUAUGAACCAACCCUGGCCUUUUCAUGAUCAACGUACUCCCUUUUGCCGUUUUGAACCCCAUCCUGAAGAGCCAUACCCCUUUC